UUCUAGCCCAGAUAGCAGUGAAAAUCCUUUUCUUUUUUUCUUUAAAAAAGAAAAGAUUGAAACGAAUAGCUGGAAAUAGC
rnacentral:sRNA from 2 species